rnacentral:rRNA from 1 species
UACGUAGGCAGCAAACGUUGUUCGGAAUUACUGGGCGUAAAGCGCGUGUAGGCGGCCCUGCAAGUCGGAUGUGAAAUCCCACGGCUCAACCGUGGAAGUGCAUUCGAAACUGCAGGGCUAGAGUCCUGGAGAGGAAGGUGGAAUGCUUGGUGUAGAGGUGAAAUUCGUAGAUAUCAAGCGGAACACCGGUGGCGAAGGCGGCCUUCUGGACAGUGACUGACGCUGAGACGCGAAAGCGUGGGGAGCAAACAGG